CGGGGGUGGCUCCAGCGGGCCUCAGCCAUGGUGCAGGGCUCGCACUAACUCGUGCCCCCGAGAUUGCUUGCAAAUUGCUAGGCCGGAAUACGGCAAAGUCGGGGCGCCCCAGGCCCUCUGCCACCCUCGGUGCCCCGCCAAGGCACUUCCUCCACCCUGCACCACCCUCUGGGACACAAAGAACUGUCCCUUUUGAAAGCAUGCCUCCAACGCCGCCGCAAGAGACCGUUGCUCCAACUUGGACGGGCCCGGGGAGGGGACUCUUCUGUUUUUAUGUACCACCCCCCCCACCCCCGGCUUUGCUCACGCGCCGUCUCUCACUCAACAUUUAGAAGGAAAGUGGAGGAAAAGCCACGGAGUGCGAGCAGAAAACCUGAUUUGUCGCCCGUUCUGUUCUGUUAACCGCUAAGCAAUUUUACUCAAACCCCUCCCUCGGUCAUUUUUUUGCCUCUCAAUUUGCGUUAGCUCGUGAAUUUCGAAAAUAGACGUUACUGUUCACCGAAGUUAAACUCAAAAGUUUGAGAAACUCGAGCCCAGAGAGUUUAGAUGUUUAGGUAAAGCACAAAAUCGAAUGAUCCUGUGAUUUUUUUUCCCCACCGGAGAUUCGGGCCACGCCGGCACCCCACCCCCACCCGCCCUCGGUAGGUGGCGACCACGGCACUUUUUCCAGCCUCCCGGUCUUUGUCGCUCGAAAUAAAACUUUGCGAGCAGCCAGUCUUUUGAUGUAAGUUCAAAACCUUUCCUUUGAAUUUGGGUUCACGGAUUGGCGUUCCCCGUCUUCUUUCUUCCAUAGACUGCACUCAUGAAGCCUCACCUAGAAUUUCCAUGUUGGAUUUCUUUAAAAUAAAUGGAAAAUUUAAAGAUCACUGCGAGGCAAUGUGAUGACAGAAGACUUCUACUUUUUUAUGAUUUCCCCUGCAAUCUUUUACAGUCAUUUUGGGCUCACCUAAUUCGAUUGUGACUUAUCAAGUCUCUCUACAGCAUUAAUUUAGUUUUCAUAAGAACAGUGUUCUUUUUGCACUCAUAUUUCAUUAACGUUUUGGAAUAUUUAAUUGAAUUCCAUAUUCCCAAUACCAAGUACAACUGACAUAUAUUCAGGAGCAAGUGUAACUCUUGAGAAGCCUACAACUUAGCUGGUAAGAGCUGCCAGCCUACAAGCUGCAAACGUUCAGCUGCUGUAGACAUGGGCCGUCAACAACCACCUGUGGUGGGUGUGUAGCACCUCUGCAUAUACUAAAAAGGCUCAGAGGUUAAGUUACUUAGCCAAGGAUACACAGGUGGCAAAAUGCAGACUCUAAUCUACAUCAACCUGUGUCCGAGCCAGAAUGCCCGACUGCUGCUGUCUGGCUGUAGGCCACAGCCAUCUCAUCCAGGCGGUGUGGCAAGUGAAGCAAGUGCAAGAAAUUGAGAAGCUGAUCCUAAGAUUCAUAUGGAAAUGUAAGGAAUCUAGACUAGCCAAGACAAUCUAGAAAAAGAAAAACUAAUUUGGAGGAUCACUACUUCCUGAUUUCAAAACUACUGCAAAGUUAUAGUAAUCGACAGAGUGCUAUCCUGGCAUAAGGAUAGACAUAUAGAUGAAUGGAAUGGAAUUGAGAUGCUGGAAAUAAACUCUCACUUUUAUGGUCAAUUGAUCUUCAACAAGGGUGCCAAGACGAUUCAAUGGGGAAAGAUUAGUCUUUUCAACAAAUGGGACUGGAAUAAUUGUAUGAAAUUAGAUCCCUAUUUCACAACAUUGACACAAAUAAUCAAUAACUGAUCUAUAGAUAAGAAAGAUAUGGGACCGGCUGGUGGUGUAGCAGUUAAGUUCAUGCAGUCUGCUUCAGCAGA